AUUUUAAUAGUUUAAAAAAACAUUGAUAUUGUAAAUCAAAAUUAUAUAUAAAUAUAUUUAAAAUA
rnacentral:tRNA from 1 species